rnacentral:rRNA from 1 species
GACGAACGCUGGCGGCGUGCUUAACACAUGCAAGUCGAACGGAGAGGCCCUGCUUUUGUGGGUGCUCGAGUGACGAACGGGUGAGUAACACGUGAGUAACCUGCCCUUGACUUUGGGAUAACUUCAGGAAACUGGGGCUAAUACCGGAUAGGAGCUCCUGCUGCAUGGGGGGGGGUGGAAAGUUUCGGCGGUUGGGGAUGGACUCGCGGCUUAUCAGCUUGUUGGUGGGGUAGUGGCUUACCAAGGCUUUGACGGGUAGCCGGCCUGAGAGGGUGACCGGCCACAUUGGGACUGAGAUACGGCCCAGACUCCUACGGGAGGCAGCAGUGGGGAAUAUUGCACAAUGGGCGGAAGCCUGAUGCAGCAACGCCGCGUGCGGGAUGACGGCCUUCGGGUUGUAAACCGCUUUCGCCUGUGACGAAGCGUGAGUGACGGUAAUGGGUAAAGAAGCACCGGCUAACUACGUG